ACAUUUUCAUCGCCUUUUGGCCUAGAUCAAGUGUAGCAUCUGUCCCCCAGCGGGGGACUACAUAUUAAGCAGAGUUCUAUAACUCGGCAAAGGGGCUUGUUCCUUCCGCUCCACGCAUCCACCCAGUAUUGCAGUGCCUCUGGGAGCGGUGCACUUCCU
ensembl:snRNA U2 U2 spliceosomal RNA